AGAGUUUGAUCCUGGCUCAGGACGAACGCUGGCGGUGUGCUUCACACAUGCAAGUCGAACGGGGUAGCAAUACCCAGUGGCGGACGGGUGAGUAACACGUGGGAAUCUACCAUUAGAUGGGGAAUAACAGGCCGAAAGGACUGCUAAUGCCGCAUAUGUAUGUGCCUCGACAGGGGCGUAUAUGAAAGGAGUAAUCCGUCUGAUGAUGAGCCCGCGUCCGAUUAGCUAGUUGGUAGGGUAAAAGCCUACCAAGGCGACGAUCGGUAGGUGGUCUGAGAGGAUGAUCACCCACAAUGGGACUGAGACACGGCCCAUACUCCUACGGGAGGCAGCAGCGGGGAAUUUUGUGCAAUGGGGGAAACCCUGACACAGCGACACCGCGUGAGCGAAGAAGCCCUUUGGGGUGUAAAGCUCUGUCAACGGGAACGAAAAAAAUGACGGUACCCGUGGAGGAAGCAUCGGCUAACUACGUGCCAGCAGCCGCGGUAAGACGUAGGAUGCAAGCGUUGUCCGGAUUUAUUGGGCGUAAAGAGUUCGUAGGCUGUUUGUUAAGUCUGAUGUUAAAGACUGGGGCUCAACCUCGGAAAUGCAUUGGAUACUGGCAGACUGGAGUGCAGUAGAGGCUAGUGGAAUUCCCAGUGUAGCGGUGAAAUGCGUAGA
rnacentral:rRNA from 1 species